GCUGCCGCUCCCACUGUGACUGUGGCUGUGGUGGUGAUGGUGGUGGUUUGAAAACGAGCCGCCGCCACCGCCACUGCCAGCCGCGGCGGCGGUGUGAGCGGACAUGAUGUGCGGCGGCGGCAGGUGCGGCAGGAGGAAGGGGCUCUCAGGCACCGCCGCGCCGCCAGGCUGGGAGCCCGCAGCCCCAGCCUGACCCAUGGACGCCGAUGUGCCGGAGCUGCCGGAAGCCGACGGGCCGCCGGCGGCGCGGGUGGCGGCCCCGUUGACUGACAUGCGGCCGUGCAGCUCGGC
rnacentral:lncRNA from 1 species